rnacentral:antisense_RNA from 1 species
AUCUACAUUUUUAUAAGCUGAAUGCCCCUUUUCUU